CGGAGAGCGGAGCGGGCGAUCACAUGGCAGUUAUUUUAUUCAGGUGCAGUUUUAUAUGUAGCUGAUUAGAGAGCAAGGUAUGUGAUUUUUGAUUGAUGGAACCAGGUUAUCGAGGUCUUUGAUACCGGUAGAUAAAUUGGCUACUUAAAUUCCAAGAUUAUUAGAUACUGUUGUUGCUAACUAUCUACUAGUUGAUUGGCAAGCAAAAAUGGCUGGAAAUGGCACUCAGCGAAUCCGUGGAGUGUCUGCAGUUUGUAUUUGUUGAUGUGAUGCUUUUGGCUGUUGAUGAAGUGGAUGUAGACAAUAGGCCAAUACUACGCGCAUGGCUACACGGCAAAAGCCGGAUAGCGGCAGGCUGUCUGGAUGUAGCGGUUUGAAGGGCUGAAAGGAGGAGGACCCGAGAGAAACGACGUCUCCGGGGCCCUGCGUCAGCUGGGAGGCAUGAGGAUGACCUCUGCAAGGGAAAGCAGAACCAAACCAGAGCUACACCCCCUGCAUGCCUUUUUAGCAUCUGC